ACUAGUGAUUAGAGUUUGAUCAUGGCUCAGGUUGAACGCUGGCGGCAGGCCUAACACAUGCAAGUCGAACGGUAACAGGAAGAAGCUUGCUUCUUUGCUGACGAGUGGCGGACGGGUGAGUAAUGUCUGGGAAACUGCCUGAUGGAGGGGGAUAACUACUGGAAACGGUAGCUAAUACCGCAUAACGUCGCAAGACCAAAGAGGGGGACCUUCGGGCCUCUUGCCAUCGGAUGUGCCCAGAUGGGAUUAGCUAGUAGGUGGGGUAACGGCUCACCUAGGCGACGAUCCCUAGCUGGUCUGAGAGGAUGACCAGCCACACUGGAACUGAGACACGGUCCAGACUCCUACGGGAGGCAGCAGUGGGGAAUAUUGCACAAUGGGCGCAAGCCUGAUGCAGCCAUGCCGCGUGUAUGAAGAAGGCCUUCGGGUUGUAAAGUACUUUCAGCGGGGAGGAAGGGAGUAAAGUUAAUACCUUUGCUCAUUGACGUUACCCGCAGAAGAAGCACCGGCUAACUCCGUGCCAGCAGCCGCGGUAAUACGGAGGGUGCAAGCGUUAAUCGGAAUUACUGGGCGUAAAGCGCACGCAGGCGGUUUUGUUUAAGUCAGAUGUGAAAUCCCCGGGCUCACUGGAACUGCAUCUGAUACUGGCAAGCUUGAGUCUCGUAAAGGGGGUAGAAUUCAGGUGUAGCGGUGAAAUGCGUAGAGAUCUGGAGGAAUACCGGUGGCGAAGGCGGCCCCCUGGACGAAGACUGACGCUCAGGUGCGAAAGCGUGGGGAGCAAACAGGAUUAGAUACCCUGGUAGUCCACGCCGUAAACGAUGUCGACUUGGAGGUUGUGCCCUUGAGGCGUGGCUUCCGGAGCUAACGCGUUAAGUCGACCGCCUGGGGAGUACGGCCGCAGGGUUAAAACUCAAAUGAAUUGACGGGGGCCCGCACAAGCGGUGGAGCAUGUGGUUUAAUUCGAUGCAACGCGAAGAACCUUACCUGGUCUUGACAUCCACGGAAGUUUUCAGAGAUGAGAAUGUGCCUUCGGGAACCGUGAGACAGGUGCUGCAUGGCUGUCGUCAGCUCGUGUUGUGAAAUGUUGGGUUAAGUCCCGCAACGAGCGCAACCCUUAUCCUUUGUUGCCAGCGGUCCGGCCGGGAACUCAAAGGAGACUGCCAGUGAUAAACUGGAGGAAGGUGGGGAUGACGUCAAGUCAUCAUGGCCCUUACGACCAGGGCUACACACGUGCUACAAUGGCGCAUACAAAGAGAAGCGACCUCGCGAGAGCAAGCGGACCUCAUAAAGUGCGUCGUAGUCCGGAUUGGAGUCUGCAACUCGACUCCAUGAAGUCGGAAUCGCUAGUAAUCGUGGAUCAGAAUGCCACGGUGAAUACGUUCCCGGGCCUUGUACACACCGCCCGUCACACCAUGGGAGUGGGUUGCAAAAGAAGUAGGUAGCUUAACCUUCGGGAGGGCGCUUACCACUUUGUGAUUCAUGACUGGGGUGAAGUCGUAA
rnacentral:rRNA from 1 species